rnacentral:rRNA from 1 species
AGGACGAACGCUGGCGGCGUGCUUAACACAUGCAAGUGGAGCGACGAACCAGGGCUUGCCCUGGGGCAGAGCCGCGAACGGGUGAGUAACACGUGGGUUACCUGCCUCGAUGACCGGGACAACCCGAGGAAACUCGGGCUAAUACCGGAUGUGCCCGCAAGGGGAAAGGAAGCUUCGGCCUCCGCAUCGAGAUGGGCCCGCGGCCCAUUAGCUUGUUGGUGAGGUAACGGCUCACCAAGGCUUCGAUGGGUAGCUGGUCUGAGAGGACGAUCAGCCACACUGGGACUGAGACACGGCCCAGACUCCUACGGGAGGCAGCAGUGGGGAAUCUUGCGCAAUGCGCGAAAGCGUGACGCAGCAACGCCGCGUGGGGAAGAAGGCUUUCGGUUGUAAACCCCUUUCAGUUGGGACGAAGCUUCUCCGGUGAAUAGCCGGACGGAGUGACGGUACCUUCACAAGAAGCACCGGCUAACUACGCGCCAGCAGCCGCGGU